CUUUGUCUGAUCUUAAUCAGUAUGCAGUAGUGAGUCACACACAUUUGUUGCGUUUGUAGGUAUGCAUUAAGUAUGGUUACUAAUGAAUAUAUUAUAGGAAAUACAAGCUUUAAUGUGUGGAUAGACAGAACUUCGAUGUUGGAGCAUUUCCGUGAUUAGGAAAAGAGUCAUUGUUUAUCAUAAUGAGCUACCAACCUGCUAAAGACUUGGGCAGUGCUGGGAACAGUCAUUAACAGUCUGUUUGAGCAGGGAGACAUUUUGGAGGAGGCCCAGGAAAUACGUGUGCAUCCGAAGCAAGCAAUAGUGCACCGCUCCUUGAGGAAAGGAAGUUUGCAGCCCUCUCUGAACAGCCCUGUGUUGGAAAGAAAGCUGGAAAGCAUCUGGCAUUUGCACCUGAGGAUUCUCAAAGGGGGAUAUGGUCAAUAAAAGACAAAAGGAAGUAAAACAAAAGUCUUCAAAUCUACAAGAAGUUCUCCAUUAGCUGUGUGUUUUUCUCUAAGGAAAUUAUUGCUUUUUAAUCUGCCAUUCAUCUCAUCCACAGAGGAACAAAGUGGAUUUUCAGGUCAGAUACUGCUCUUACAAAUCAAUAAGACGUUGUUGAAAAGUUGGAAUUUGAAAGGUAUGGUAGAAAUUAUAUGUAUGUGACUUCUGUGUAAAUGAUGUACUUAAAUCUGUGCAAUAUUGAGAGAUGUUUGAAUCUGAGUGCGUUCUUGGCUGGACCCUACAAGUGAAAGAAAUGAAGUCACAGAGACUGCUUGUUUUUGUCAAGGAGGUGUGUAAGAUGUUUUUGUUUCAGGCAACUUAUUCCUUGAGGUAAUGAAUAUCAGUGUACAUGAAGAAACUGGGUCAUACUCUAUUAGGUUUUGCAGAAAUAUAAUAAGCAAAAAGUGGAUGUUCUAACAGCCUGUAGAAAUUGAACUGUAAGGCUGGGAGUACUUGGGAUGCAUGAACAAGACUCGGCUGUAUUGUGGGAAUUAACUUUGUAUCCUGAUAAUGCAGAUGCUUUUUUGGAAUUGAUCUGAAAUAUAAAUAAUUGAUUUUUCAAAAGUAAAUCUUCUAAAAAUGAAAGGAAGAAGUCUCCUGUUAAAACUCGACAAGGAAUACAUUAUUUUAAUUGAGCUCCUAAACUGGUAUUUGAGUAAUGGUAGUUAUCACACAUACUCCAAAGACGCUCCAAAGAUGAACUCUAGGCUGGCCAAGAAGGCAUUGGGCCACUUUGUGGCUUUUUUUUCCCCACGCAGUAUAAGCUUCAAAAACUGUCUAUUGCCCCGUUUGACUUUUAUGUGGACUGAGAUGAUGGGAGCUGGCUACUACUAGUCAAGCAUUAAAUGUCCUUCAUUUCUCCUGAUCAUUUGUACUUGUUAGGCCGUAGCCAGCUUGUGAGGUGUUCGGGCUGUGGGGAUAUUUCUAUGCUGUGAUGUUUGUUUCCGUCCUGAUUGAAAAUUACUUUAAUUAAAGCUUGUUCCCUGGUUUUCUGCUCCUCAUAAAUGCAGUGAUUCUGGAGUAGUUUAAUGACAUAUAUUUUGAAAAAUGCUGAUUAUCAAGUCUGAUUUUUCUUUUUGUGCCAAUGUGUUGCUUCUGACAACAUCUUCUGAUUGGAACAAGACUUUGUACAAAAAUGCUUAAGCAGCUGCAUUUUCAUGAAUAUAUUAUUAAUUUCAUUACUUCAUUUAUUCUUCCUGUGAUGAAGACCUGAAACCAGUUUUUAAUCUGAAAUGUAAAACUUAUUGUUUAUAUGUAUAUGUAUAUAUAUUUAUAUACACAUACGCACAUACGCCUAUAUAGAUAUGCUUCUCCAUGCAAAUUUAAGACAAACCUUGACAUUUUAUAUAUAUAUAUUUUUUUUUCUUUUAAUGUCUUGGGCAAUUUGUUAUACAGGAAAUAUGCCAUGAUUCAUCCAUUCUAAUAGACUCCACCUCCAACUAGGGCUGAAUUUUCCGUCUUUUGAAGAAUUUCAUGCCGUUAACAAUGUACAUUUAGACUACGUAAACUUACUUCCUGAGUUUCCUUUCCUUUCCUGGCAGUGCUAAGUUAACAAAGCAAAAGGCUUCAGAACAAAACAUUUUCUUGACUUGGAGGCUCCUUGCAAAUGUUUCAUUCCUCAAACUGAGCUCUUUCCUGCUUAAAACUUUCGUAACUUGUUUGGAACUUAAUGAGCCCCACAUGUCCUGGCUCCCAGCACCAGCCAGCCUGCAGCAGCAGAACAGCCCUCCUGCUCUGCACAGGGUCAUGAAAAAUAUCAGUCUUCCCCAGUACUUUUUUGAAGUCUUUUUAUUUUUUGUUUAUGCUCUGAGGACUCUAUUUGCUGGUCAGCUGACCCCCUAAAUUCAAAACUGAAUUUACGACGCAGAAAAUCUCCCGUGUAGUUAUAAAGACAGCAGACAAAAUAGCACUCCAGUAGUGCUCCAGACUCUCUUGGAUUCUCAUGAAAUAUGAUGCCAAGGCUGAAGUUUUAGACCUGAUAAAAACUGUCCACAGGACUUUUCGAUUGUUCCAGAAAAUCUACUUUCCUUUGCACCAGCACAAUUACAAAGGACAAAGUCACAAGUGUGGCACCCACUGUGAAUGGCAAAGGUUUGGUGGAAGGUGGUUCCUGGCCAGACAGGUUUACAACAAUAAUGUAUAGAAACAGACAAUAACCUAUUUUAAAAUGUGUAUGUGUACAUGUCUAUAUAUGCUCAUUUAUGAACUACUUUGAAGACAUUUCAGAAAUCAUACCAAGGAACAGUAGAGAAGCAGCAAAACCAACUCAUUUGAUAAAGCGAAAGGGAGUGUAAGAUAAGUAAAUGAAAUACCAUGGUAAAAGGAAAAGAAAAACAAUCCCUGAAAUCUCAAAAACAGUGCUGACAUGUAGACUUUUCAUAUGUAUUUUCCAUAUUGAGGUAGAAAUUCAUAUCUAGCUAUGUAGGUAUUCUCUGUUUCUACUCCAGAAGUUGCUCUUAGCAUUUGUAUGCCAUAACAACGCUAUAAGCCACAGGAAGCUCUGAGAUUCACUAAAGUAAUUUAGAAAAAACAAAUUAGCUAAGGGAAUGGUCAAUGGUUUUAAUUACUUUUUUUUUUUUUUUUUUCCCCCAAUUAAAAAGGUAUGGUGAAAUUCAUACUGGGUAGAAAAAAAUGUUUAGCUAAUUGGGAGAGAAGUCUUCCUUCUUGGGAUCUGUUUAACCAGCACAAACCAGAAGCCAAACUAACGCAUGCAAUCCUAUUUCUUUCUAAAUUCGAUCCGUUACAAAAAUGCGUACCUUAAGGGUAAUUCUCUAUGAUUCUUAUGGGAUAACAGAGUGUAUCAGACACUUUCAGUAUUAACAUGAUAUAGCAGGAAAAAAAAAAUGGCUGAAAGAACUGCCUCAGCCAUCAAUUUUGGGAAGCAAAGUCAGAUUGUAUCGGCUGUGAAAUAUGUGCGCUACACUUGCCUUAUGUAGUAUACAGCAUUCAGAAGCAAGGUCCCUUCAAGGAAAAUAUUUGGGACUGUGAGAUAACUUUAAGGGCGUAUGUUUUCAGGCUUGGAUUUAUUUGUCAAUCCCUACAACUGCAAAACUGCAAAAACCAAGUUAUUUACAGCAUGCAGCGGGACAGAGAUGUAAGUAAGCUUGGUGUAUUUCUUACCUAAAUACAUAUCUUUUAUUAAAUAAUUAUUUCAUUUAAAUCUAUAUAUUCUUAUAAUAUGUUAGAAGGAGUUAAGCAUUACCUGGCAUAUCAUUGUGCAUAGCUAGCUGGAAUAUACAUUUGGUUUCUUCAGCUUCUUUCAUCAUUUGCAAAAGAACUGAAUUUCUUCCCUCUGACAAUCAGGAUAGCCACUCAUUGGCUUUUUAUUCACACUGAGGAAAGGACAUUGAUGAAAUCCUAAUUGUUCUAGGUAACAAGCAUGAAGACUGCAUAAUGCUAUAGUAAAGUUAUUUGUCAUCAGAAAGUGGAAAGACAAUGCCUGAGCCUGCUCUGUGAUGAGCAUCAUAAAAUCCCUUCACCUACAAUAGCUGAUAUGCUAAUAACUAUAAAUCUUUAAGAUGAUAAAAAGAAGACUUGUGCAGAUAUAUCAAGAAAAAAUGUUUGACUUUUCUUUCUCACAGUUUGUAAAGAGAUAUUUGCUCUUAUAUUUAAGGCUUUAUUUUUCUUAGUAAUGUAGGUGUCCAGGCAGCUGGGUAGAAUGAACUGAGAGCUCUUUCCUCCCAGGCUUUCAAUAUUUUAAUGUUUAGAAUUUCAGGGAUUCAGAAGCACAGAAAGGGUUUUAAAUGCUCAUGUUUUUCUAACCAGAGUUUAUGCAAAAACUUGUUAGUUUUCUGAAAAGUUAUUGUACACAGGAGUGCACGUGAGAAUUUCUCCUGAGUCUUUAAAUCCCCCUACUAGAGCAGAAGCAGAUAUUGCUUGCAUUUCUACCUUCCUAUUCUUCAAGUUGUAAGUAUAAUCUGUGCAAACUGAUCAAAACAGAACUAGAAAAUUAUUAAUAUAAUAUUAUAUUCCGUUUACACAUUCCAGGUGAUCUUCUGCUUUUAUUUUUAUUAAGUGUAGUCAAAAGAGGAAUGACAUUGACACAUCUCUCAUUUUCUUUCAUCAUUCAUUGUUUCUGCCUCUCUUCUACACUUAUUUUCCUAAAAACCUGUUCCCACCACUACCCAGAAGGUUCAUCACUUGCUAUUUCCCAGAUAUUCCUCCUUGCACUUUGCCACAUGUAGCUGAUGUUCAAAUCCAGCUAGACCAUCCCCUUUCCAAAGAUCCCUUCCUCACUUCUGUGGUCUUGCUUGUGGUCAGAUUUCCAGCAACAGUGGAUUCUUUCCAUCAUUUCCAAUCUCGUAUUAUUUUGGCAUGUAAACAUGCAAAAUAAAGUUGUUAUUAACUUUUUUUUACCCAAGACUUUGGCUUCCUGCUUUGAUUUCGCAGUUAACGCUGUUUCUGUGUUUCCCUCAUUCUCAUUUUAAUCUUUUUUAUGUUAUGCAUAAUAUAGAUUUUACUGUGUAUUUGUAAUGUGUAUGUCUCCCCUUCCACUCUGAUGUUUGCUUUGUUUUGUUUUGCUGCUGUUUUUUUUUAAUGAGUAUGUGGAAGUUAAUGUAUAUAUAUACUUCCAGUUUGGGAAUGUUGGGUUUCAGCACAAUAGUAUGGUGUGUAUCUACUUCUGUUAUUUGUAUGCACAGUGCUCAUGGUUGCAUACGCAGUUGCUGUUGUCAUCAGUAAAAUUCAUUGCUUGUAGGGAGAUGGUGGUUAUUGUCUGGGCAGUCCAAAAUACCAUGAAAGCAAUUUUGCAUAAUGACACAAAGCCACCCGUUAGAAAUGAUAUAUGCCACAUAGCAAGGCAGGCAUACCAACUGGGAGCCUGAGAACUGAAAACUACCAUGAGUUAGUAUAUUUUUUCAAUUUUCAACAAAAAGUAACUUGGUGGAAUUUUUGUUAAGAAGUCUGGAACAAAGAUACCUACUAGCACUUGUCUGUUAACAAAGUCAUGCUGACUUUGUAUGAUUCACAUGAAAAUUUAUAUAGGUCUUUACUUUAAGGCUCACUUUCAGUUUAUUAUACAGAUUUUCUUCCUUUUGGAGUAGUUAUUAUUCUUAUUUUAAAUACACAUUGCAUGGAUUUUGUUUAAAAUAUGUCAGGUUUCCAUGGUUUUACAACGUUAGGUAAAAACCCCAUGUAUUUUGCAAGUAGAUUUUACAGUAGGUUGGUUGUCCUGCAAAAUGCUAACGCUAACAAUGAGAUGUCAGAGACACCUUUUCUCUCCCUCUCUUCUCUCUCUUACUCACCCCUCUAUUUGUGUAUAUAUCAUGGAAACCUGACAAUCUCCAGGGUGCUCAGCUCCAAUAAACUAAUCUCACAAUUCAUGCAUUACAGAAGAUCUGUGAAAAAUAGUUAGCCAGUUUUCUGUUGUGAUGUGGGGGCACCAUAAAUUAAACUUAGGAACUGGAGAAGAGUUAACAAUCAGAUUUGUCAGAGGCAAAGCACCAUGAAGACUCCUUCUCAUUUCAUAAACGUAUAGAUCAUGAGACUAGGUAUAUAGCUUGGUUGAUAUAAAUCAAUCAUUUUGGCCUCAUUUCCACAUGGAUAAGGCUAAGGCUCAUGUAUAUAUAUACACACACAUAUAUAUAUAUAUUCCUUUUUUUCUUUCUGAAAAAAAGACAAAUUCCUCCAUCUGAGUUGUUGCAAUUAUAGUGCAAACACCUCUAUUGUAUUUCAGGGAAACAAAUCAAUUUAUAAAAAUGAUUUUCCCUCAGUUACACUCAAUUUUAGCAAAUGGUACAUAAAUCUGGCACACUUCAUGAGCCAUACACUGAGAAAAGGCUUAUCUCAUUCAUUUAAUCCUAUUAAAAAUGAGGACUUGUGUUCCCCAUGCAUUCAUUGGUGACAGCAGAAUUUGGCCCAGUGGCAGAUGUCUUGGGAGGUGGACUUUACAGGUGCAAUCAAGUCAGUUAAUGUAUCCAGUCCAGGUGAGCCCACAAGUACAGUACUUUCUAUGUCCCUUUCUGCCUACUGGUGCCAAAGAGAGCGCAGCACAUUCCCUAAUGGUACAAACAAAUCAAACCAUCUGACCUGUCAGGUUUUAAUGUACCGAAAUGAAGCUUGAAGCAUAGUUACGAGAACAAUGUCUGCUUGAAGUCCUAGUUAUGGGCCAUAACUGCUUGAAGUCCUAGUUAUGGGCCAUAACCAUGUUGAAUUACUAAUGAGUCAGCUGCUUGUCACGGCUGAGGGCUGUUUGACCUGGGUGGAAAUGAGAAACUGAAUGUGAACAGAACUUAGUUAGAAAGAUAUAAGCUAUAACUUCAAAAAUUAAACCCUUAAAAUAUUAUCAGCUGCAAAUGUGAGACAUGCCUGUGAUCUAGGAGUUUCUAUCUACGAGUCUCCACCAAGGAGUUUCCAAAUUUGAUCUAGAUUCAGUAAUAUACACUCUGGCUGAAAUUAAACCAUUAACUCAUCUAUGCGCAUGGAUACCUCAUUCAGCAGGCUCCUUCCUUAUGCUCCUACCAACAAAGAAGAUGGAGCUUAUUGUCAGCUAUAAAAAAAAGCCAGUGUUAGUCAGCUGAGGGAAGUAUUCUUUGGCAUCCCUAAAUCAACUGAUGUGAUCCCUAAUGAAAAUAAUAAUCAACAGAUGAAGCAUUUUCCUCUGAAAUAUGCCAACGUCUUACUAGCACGGACACCCUAAAGAAAAGACACCUAUGAACAACUAUUACAAAUAGCUGAAAAAUUGCAAAAGUAACUUAUGGAGAUUCAUUACAAAGACCUUUUCACUAAACUUCUUGUUUCUCUAAAAAUUUUACAUGUAC
rnacentral:lncRNA from 1 species